rnacentral:rRNA from 1 species
UUCCGGUUGAUCCUGCCGGAGGCCACUGCUAUUGGGAUCCGACUAAGCCGUGCGAGUCGAGAGGGUUCGGCCCUCGGCAGACUGCUCAGUAACACGUGGAUAAUCUACCCUUAGGUGGAGGAUACUCUCGGGAAACUGAGAAUAAUACUCCAUAGGUCUAGGAUGCUGGAAUGCACCUAGGUUGAAAGUUCCGGCGCCUAAGGACGAGUCUGCGGACUAUCAGGUAGUAGUCAGGGUAAAGACCUGACUAGCCUACGACGGAUACGGGUUGUGAGAGCAAUAGCCCGGAGACGAUAUCUGAGACACGAUAUCGGGCCCUACGGGGCGCAGCAGGCGCGAAAUCUUCACAAUGUGCGAAAGCACGAUGAGGGGAUCCCAAGUGUUGGUUCGUAAGAGUCAUCUGUUUCUUUGUCUAAAAAACAGAGAGAGUAAGAGCUGGGUAAGACGGGUGCCAGCCGCCGCGGUAAUACCUGCAGCUCAAGUGGUGGCCGCUAUUAUUGGGCCUAAAACGUCCGUAGCCGGUUUAGUAAAUGCCUGGGUAAAUUGUGUAGCUCAACUAUACGAAUACCGGGGUAGACUGCUAAACUUGAAACCGGGAGAGGCUAGAGGUACUCCCUAGGGUAGAGGUGAAAUUCUGUAAUCCCUAGGGGGACCACCAGUGGCGAAGGCGUCUAGCUAGAACGGGUUUGACGGUGAGGGACGAAGCCCUGGGGCGCAAACCGGAUUAGAUACCCGGGUAGUCCAGGGUGUAAACGCUGCUCGCUUGAUGUUAGUCGGGCUCCGAGCUCAACUAGUGUCGGGAGAGAAGUUGUUAAGCGAGCUGCCUGGGAAGUACGGUCGCAAGGCUGAACUUAAAGGAAUUGGCGGGGGAGCACAGCAACGGUGGAGCGUGCGGUUAAUUGGACUCAACGC